AUGAACUACUUCCCAGAACUAUUGAUUGCACUUUUUGUAAUGUUUGGAGAAAGCAAUGGAGACUCAGUGACUCAGACAAAAGGCCAAGUGACACUCUUUGAAGGGACCUCUCUGACUGUGAACUGUUCCUAUGAAACCAAACAGUACCCAGCCCUGUUCUGGUACGUGCAGUAUCCCGGAGAAGGUCCAAAGCUCCUCUUCAAAGUCUCAAAGGCCAACGAGAAGGGAAGCAGCGGAGGUUUUGAAGCUACAUAUGAUGAAGGAUCCACUUCCUUCCACUUGCAGAAGUCCUCAGUCCAAGAGUCAGAUUUGGCUGUGUACUACUGUGCUCUGGGUGCCACAGUAUGCUUAAAUUUUUGGACUCCUUUUGGUUAA